rnacentral:rRNA from 1 species
CCUACGGGCGGCAGCAGUAGGGAAUCUUCCACAAUGGGCGAAAGCCUGAUGGAGCAACGCCGCGUGGGUGAAGAAGGUCUUCGGAUCGUAAAACCCUGUUGUUAGAGAAGAAAGUGCGUGAGAGUAACUGUUCACGUUUCGACGGUAUCUAACCAGAAAGCCACGGCUAACUACGUGCCAGCAGCCGCGGUAAUACGUAGGUGGCAAGCGUUAUCCGGAUUUAUUGGGCGUAAAGGGAACGCAGGCGGUCUUUUAAUUCUGUUGUGAAAGCCUUCGGCUUAACCGGAGUAGUGCAUUGGAAACUGGGAGACGUGAGUGCAGAAGAGGAGAGUGGAACUCCAUGUGGAGCGGUGAAAUGCGUAGAUAUAUGGAAGAACACCAGUGGCGAAAGCGGCUCUCUGGUCUGUAACUGACGCUGAGGUUCGAAAGCGUGGGUAGCAAACAGGAUUAGAUACCCUUGUAGUC